CGCAGAGAUUGUUGAUGUUGUAGCCCAUUUGAAAAGGUUGGGACAGCGCAUAGACACGUUUCGAUUACAGAGGGGACGCAGAUGGUGGAGGAGACCUACGGGCAUUCUGUCACGAGUUUGCAGUAACAAUUUAUGGCAGCUGGAGUCCGUAGCCUACACGCGCUUGCAUACAAAAUACAGACAUCUGCAUACUAGUAAUUCCUCAUGCCAUCCAAACACUCCUUUGUCCAGUCUUUUUAUUUACUCUCUUUUAACCGCCAAUCAGAGGCAGCUGCUCGCCAUUUACCAGACCUCUGCCCAAAGCAACGUGACGCACUCCACUGCACGUCCUCAUUUUAGAGGAGAUCGACGCAUGGAGAAUUGGAGAGCUCGAGCGCUUCAUCGCACCCUUACUGACUGACACAGAUGCUGCGAGACUGGUGCAUUGUGGAUCGGCGGUCAAAUUUACAUCAUUGCAAAAGUGGCCAAACCCACAGCCCAGCUGGCAGGAUGCAAGUCCCCAUGAUGACUGGGGUUCCCUGGUGUCCCUGACGGAUUGGUGAAUACAGGAGUAGGGAGAGACAGAUGGGUAUGUGUCCUCAUACUGUGGAGGGGGUUCUUGUAAAGGCAGAGGUUUAACAGCCGUUAUUGAUGGUAAUUCUGUCUUGUGUGCUCUAUUCCUUGAUAUUUUUUUAUUGACUAUUGUUGGUAUUAGUGGGGGCUGCCGUAACAAGUUAUUCAUUUAAAUUAGGUUAGUUCAAGGUAAAAUAUGUCAAAUAAGUUAGAAGAAAAAGGUUAUUCAGGUCCAUUAGAUACUGUUCCUCAACGCCUAUGAUUCUUGGUGAUUUUGCAGAUUAAUUUAGUAACUCUGGCCUACUGCAGUUCAUAGUAUCUAUUGGCAGUGGUCAAGGCCAAUGGUCCAGUACGUCCUUGGUAGGGUUUUGGGGACAGGUGUUCCAGGGGGUUGCGUUCCACUUUCUGCUGCUCUCUGCUCUGUGUUUAUCUCCAGAUAUAUCCUGAGGAAGAUGCUGGGAAGGUGCCAGCCCUCAGAGCCUAUUUAGAUGAGUCCACAACAUGUCCUGACUGACAAGGCUGUCAACAAAGCUGUUUUUAAACAGUUGUCAACGUGGUUCAUCCUUACCGAACUGGGACGGGAACUGGGACCUAUGGCUUUCACCCACUGAGAAAGGGGCACAACAUUGGCAUUCACCCACUGCUGAUGGGGCACAGCCACACUUCUUUAGUUAUCAAUAUGUUGUAGAAGUGUAUCAACUUUCUGUGAUUAUUUGGAUAUUUUACUUAGCCUACUUAAAAUGGGAUUAUAAUUGGCACAUUGCUGGUUCCCCUUUAACCUUUUACUGCAAUGAGCAAAAUCAGUCAGUGUUUCUUGGUUGUCUUAACCUCUCUGGGAGAUGUGUAGCGUCCCACCUCGCCAACAAUCAGUGACAGUGCAGGGCGCCAAAUUCAAAACAACAAAAAUCUCAAUUAAAAUUCCUCAAGCAUACAAGUAUUUUACACCA